rnacentral:rRNA from 1 species
GGGUUGUGAGGUUAAGCGACUAAGCGUACACGGUGGAUGCCCUGGCAGUCAGAGGCGAUGAAGGACGUGCUAAUCUGCGAAAAGCGUCGGUAAGGUGAUAUGAACCGUUAUAACCGGCGAUGUCCGAAUGGGGAAACCCAGUGCAAUUCGUUGCACUAUCGUUAACUGAAUACAUAGGUUAACGAGGCGAACCGGGGGAACUGAAACAUCUAAGUACCCCGAGGAAAAGAAAUCAACCGAGAUUCCCCCAGUAGCGGCGAGCGAACGGGGAGCAGCCCAGAGUCUGAAUCAGCUUGUGUGUUAGUGGAACGGUCUGGAAAGUCCGACGGUACAGGGUGAUAGUCCCGUACACCAAAAUGCACAGGUUGUGAACUCGAAGAGUAGGGCGGGACACGUGGUAUCCUGUCUGAAUAUGGGGGGACCAUCCUCCAAGGCUAAAUACUCCUGACUGACCGAUAGUGAACCAGUACCGUGAGGGAAAGGCGAAAAGAACCCCGGCGAGGGGAGUGAAAAAGAACCUGAAACCGUGUACGUACAAGCAGUGGGAGCACCUUCGGGUGUGACUGCGUACCUUUUGUAUAAUGGGUCAGCGACUUAUAUUCUGUAGCAAGGUUAACCGUAUAGGGGAGCCGCAGGGAAACCGAGUCUUAACUGGGCGUUAAGUUGCAGGGUAUAGACCCGAAACCCGGUGAUCUAGCCAUGGGCAGGUUGAAGGUUGGGUAACACUAACUGGAGGACCGAACCGACUAAUGUUGAAAAAUUAGCGGAUGACUUGUGGCUGGGGGUGAAAGGCCAAUCAAACCGGGAGAUAGCUGGUUCUCCCCGAAAGCUAUUUAGGUAGCGCCUCGUGAAUUCAUCUUCGGGGGUAGAGCACUGUUUCGGCUAGGGGGUCAUCCCGACUUACCAACCCGAUGCAAACUACGAAUACCGAAGAAUGUUAUCACGGGAGACACACGGCGGGUGCUAACGUCCGUCGUGAAGAGGGAAACAACCCAGACCGCCAGCUAAGGUCCCAAAGUCAUGGUUAAGUGGGAAACGAUGUGGGAAGGCACAGACAGCCAGGAUGUUGGCUUAGAAGCAGCCAUCAUUUAAAGAAAGCGUAAUAGCUCACUGGUCAAGUCGGCCUGCGCGGAAGAUGUAACGGGGCUAAACCAUGCACCGAAGCUGCGGCAGCGACACUAUGUGUUGUUGGGUAGGGGAGCGUUCUGUAAGCCUGCGAAGGUGACCUGUGAGGGUUGCUGGAGGUAUCAGAAGUGCGAAUGCUGACAUAAGUAACGAUAAAGCGGGUGAAAAGCCCGCUCGCCGGAAGACCAAGGGUUCCUGUCCAACGUUAAUCGGGGCAGGGUGAGUCGACCCCUAAGGCGAGGCCGAAAGGCGUAGUCGAUGGGAAACAGGUUAAUAUUCCUGUACUUGGUGUUACUGCGAAGGGGGACGGAGAAGGCUAUGUUAGCCGGGCGACGGUUGUCCCGGUUUAAGCAUGUAGGCUGGUUAUCCAGGCAAAUCCGGAUAAUCAAGGCUGAGGUGUGAUGACGAGGCACUACGGUGCUGAAGUAACAAAUGCCCUGCUUCCAGGAAAAGCCUCUAAGCAUCAGGUAACAUCAAAUCGUACCCCAAACCGACACAGGUGGUCAGGUAGAGAAUACCAAGGCGCUUGAGAGAACUCGGGUGAAGGAACUAGGCAAAAUGGUGCCGUAACUUCGGGAGAAGGCACGCUGGUGUGUAGGUGAAGUCCCUGCGGAUGGAGCUGAGACCAGUCGAAGAUACCAGCUGGCUGCAACUGUUUAUUAAAAACACAGCACUGUGCAAACACGAAAGUGGACGUAUACGGUGUGACGCCUGCCCGGUGCCGGAAGGUUAAUUGAUGGGGUUAUCCGUAAGGAGAAGCUCUUGAUCGAAGCCCCGGUAAACGGCGGCCGUAACUAUAACGGUCCUAAGGUAGCGAAAUUCCUUGUCGGGUAAGUUCCGACCUGCACGAAUGGCGUAAUGAUGGCCAGGCUGUCUCCACCCGAGACUCAGUGAAAUUGAACUCGCUGUGAAGAUGCAGUGUACCCGCGGCAAGACGGAAAGACCCGUGAACCUUUACUAUAGCUUGACACUGAAUAUUGAGCCUUGAUGUGUAGGAUAGGUGGGAGGCUUUGAAGCGUGGACGCCAGUCUGCGUGGAGCCAACCUUGAAAUACCACCCUUUAAUGUUUGAUGUUCUAACGUUGGCCCCUUACCGGGGUUGCGGACAGUGUCUGGUGGGUAGUUUGACUGGGGCGGUCUCCUCCCAAAGCGUAACGGAGGAGCACGAAGGUUAGCUAAUCCUGGUCGGACAUCAGGAGGUUAGUGCAAUGGCAUAAGCUAGCUUGACUGCGAGCGUGACGGCGCGAGCAGGUGCGAAAGCAGGUCAUAGUGAUCCGGUGGUUCUGAAUGGAAGGGCCAUCGCUCAACGGAUAAAAGGUACUCCGGGGAUAACAGGCUGAUACCGCCCAAGAGUUCAUAUCGACGGCGGUGUUUGGCACCUCGAUGUCGGCUCAUCACAUCCUGGGGCUGAAGUAGGUCCCAAGGGUAUGGCUGUUCGCCAUUUAAAGUGGUACGCGAGCUGGGUUUAGAACGUCGUGAGACAGUUCGGUCCCUAUCUGCCGUGGGCGCUGGAGAAUUGAGGGGGGCUGCUCCUAGUACGAGAGGACCGGAGUGGACGCAUCACUGGUGUUCGGGUUGUCAUGCCAAUGGCACUGCCCGGUAGCUAAAUGCGGAAGAGAUAAGUGCUGAAAGCAUCUAAGCACGAAACUUGCCCCGAGAUGAGUUCUCCCUGAGACUUUAAGUCUCCUGAAGGAACGUUAAAGACGAUGACGUUGAUAGGCCGGGUGUGUAAGCGCAGCGAUGCGUUGAGCUAACCGGUACUAAUGAACCGUGAGGCUUAACCUUACAACGCCGAAG